rnacentral:rRNA from 1 species
UACAGAGGUCUCAAGCGUUGUUCGGAUUCAUUGGGCGUAAAGGGUGCGUAGGCGGCGCGGUAAGUCGGGUGUGAAAUCUCGGGGCUUAACUCCGAAACUGCAUUCGAUACUGCCGUGCUUGAGGACUGGAGAGGAGACUGGAAUUUACGGUGUAGCGGUGAAAUGCGCAGAUAUCAGGAGGAACACCCGUAGCGAAGGCGGCACUCUGGGCCGAUUCUGACACUGAGGAGCGAAAGCGUGGGGAGCGAACAGG